GCCCGACUAGCUCAUCGGUAGAGCGCCUCACUAGUAUAGUUCAUCUGAACUUACGGAUAUGAGGAGGCAACAGGUUCGAUUCCUGUGUUGGGCA